rnacentral:rRNA from 1 species
GGGCGAAGAUAAGACGGAUUAGCGGCGGACGGGUGAGUAACACGUGAGUAACCUGCCUUUACACAGGGAUAGCCUCGGGAAACCGGGAUUAAAACCUGAUGAAACUAUCAAAAUCACAUGAUUAAGAAAGUUAAAACUCCGGUGGUAAAAGAUGGACUCGCGUCCCAUUAGCUAGUUGGUGAAGGUAACGGCCCACCAAGGCAACGAUGGGUAGCCGGCCUGAGAGGGUGAACGGCCACAUUGGAACUGAGAAACGGUCCAAACUCCUACGGGAGGCAGCAGCC